rnacentral:pre_miRNA from 1 species
AAAAAAAAAAAAACAAACUUUCCGUAUCACUGUCCGUCUUAUAUAAUUUUUUUUUUAUAAUUAGUAUUUUUAUUGUUGUUAGAUGAUAAAAUAUAAUUAAUACUUUAUACGUGACUUGUCUUUGUAAUUUUUUUCAUAUUUUUUUCAAAUAAGACGGACGGUCAAACAUUGGACACGGAAAGUCAAGGUUUGUCUUUUU